GUACGAGUUGUAAAUGACUUUUCUGGACAAUCUUAAGGUGCAACUUGUGUCUUUUCCCUAUGCUUGACAGAGUUGAGCAAUAUUGUAUAUUAUAUAUUGUAUAUCAUAAGACACUCAAAAGUUUUAAGUGUUCAACUGACCAUGUGGAGGAAAGAAAGACUAGAGUUAGUUUACUAAAAGCCUAAAAGGAUAAGCUAGAAUUUUGCAGUAACAGUAUGUGAACACUGAAGACUAGUCU
rnacentral:misc_RNA from 1 species